CAACAUUAUCUUUGCGUUUGUAAUUGGUUCAAAGAGUCCAUGCGAUAAAAGAAAUAAAGAUACAUCGACUAAUAAAUGUGACUGAUUGAAAAAAAUUGGAAAACACUUUGAUUACAUAAAUAAAGGAGACAAAUGAGUUUAGCAAGGAUACUUUGCCGUCGUCUUACUGUUCAUCAUGGUAGUCCAGCAGUACAGAUAACUAAAACUAUAACAGAUUCAAUCUCUUCACGAUUGUUUUCGUGUAUAAGUGCUUACAGACCACAAACACUGACUUCAAUACAGGAAUCUAGGUCACAGUUCCCUAAUCAUGGACUUUCUAAGUUGUUGCUCCCUACUUCCACAUCUAUUUUAUCAGUAAGAACAUACAAACCAAAGAAUGUCUUGAAGUUAAGAUGUGAUGGCUGCUAUUUUGAACGACGAAAAGGAAGAUUGUAUGUUGAAUGUACCUUAAAACCAAGACACAGACAAAUGAAGAAAAUGCCUUCAGGUUUAUUAUACCGAGAUGAUUAUUCUAAAGGAAAAAUUCAUGAGGCAUGUUGGUGGAAAUAUCGAGCAGACAGAUAUUACAGACAAGGAGAAACUGAGUUCACACAUUUUAACUGGUUAGGGGAUAGGUUAGGAAAAGAAGUCUAAGAUAGAAAAAGUUUUUGCAUGUAAAAGUUGUGUGAAUGGAGUUUAAUAAAUGAUUUCAUCUUC